rnacentral:rRNA from 1 species
CCUACGGGGGGCAGCAGUGGGGAAUAUUGGACAAUGGGGGGAACCCUGAUCCAGCCAUGCCGCGUGUGUGAAGAAGGCCCUCGGGUUGUAAAGCACUUUCAGUGAGGAAGAACGCCUGGUGGUUAAUACCCAUCAGGAAAGACAUCACUCACAGAAGAAGCACCGGCUAACUCCGUGCCAGCAGCCGCGGUAAUACGGAGGGUGCGAGCGUUAAUCGGAAUUACUGGGCGUAAAGCGCGCGUAGGUGGCUUGAUAAGCCGGUUGUGAAAGCCCCGGGCUCAACCUGGGAACGGCAUCCGGAACUGUCAAGCUAGAGUGCAGGAGAGGAAGGUAGAAUUCCCGGUGUAGCGGUGAAAUGCGUAGAGAUCGGGAGGAAUACCAGUGGCGAAGGCGGCCUUCUGGACUGACACUGACACUGAGGGGCGAAAGCGUGGGUAGCAAACAGGAUUAGAUACCCUUGUAGUC